rnacentral:misc_RNA from 1 species
GGAUACAGUGGCUGAUUUUCUUCCGAGAAAAGGCCCACUUUGGCAGAGAAGGUCUGUCUAAUAUUUGCUUCUGGGACUAUCAAGCGUUCAUGACUGCCUAAACAUUGUGUUGCAUUGAGCUUUCGAUUUUUCAGCUAACCAGCAAGCAAGCGUAGUAUGUACAUGUUAUUAAUAGUGUUGCCACAGCUGAAGUAAAUAUCAGAUAACUGGUUUUUCUGGUUGUGUUGUUUGGCAGUUUAAGAACAGUCUGUUCUGGUUCAAGGACUUGAGGGAACCAGGACUGAACCCGUCCUUGCUGGUAAAACAAUAAAUAAAAAAUUAUUUCAAAAAGUAUGUUUUAAUUAUAAUUAAUUCAAAAUUUAUUUUCUUAAAUAGUUUGGUCAAAUUUCUUUUAACUAUGUUACAAUUAUAACUGGUCCAAAAUUUAUUUCCUUAAAUAUUUUGGUCAGAUUUUCUUUUAUUAUGUU